CUGGCUCAGGAUGAACGCUAGCGACAGGCUAACACAUGCAAGUCGAGGGGCAGACAUAAAAGUAGCAAGUACUUGGUGGCGACCGGCGCACGGGUGAGUAACGCGUAUGCAACCUACCUAUCAGAGGGGAAUAACCCGGCGAAAGUCAGACUAAUACCGCAUAAAACAGGGGCACCGCAUGGUGAUAUUUGUUAAAGAAAUUCGCUGAUAGAUGGGCAUGCGUUCCAUUAGGUAGUUGGUGAGGUAACGGCUCACCAAGCCGACGAUGGAUAGGGAACUGAGAGGUUGGUCCCCCACACUGGUACUGAGACACGGACCAGACUCCUACGGGAGGCAGCAGUGAGGAAUAUUGGUCAAUGGGCGGGAGCCUGAACCAGCCAAGUCGCGUGAAGGAAGAAGGAUCUAUGGUUCGUAAACUUCUUUUGCAGGGGAAUAAAGUGCAGGACGUGUCCUGUUUUGUAUGUACCCUGAGAAUAAGGAUCGGCUAACUCCGUGCCAGCAGCCGC
rnacentral:rRNA from 1 species